AUACGGAGGGUGCAAGCGUUAAUCGGAAUUACUGGGCGUAAAGCGCACGCAGGCGGUCAAUUAAGUCAGAUGUGAAAGCCCCGAGCUUAACUUGGGAAUUGCAUCUGAAACUGGUUGGCUAGAGUCUUGUAGAGGGGGGUAGAAUUCCACGUGUAGCGGUGACAUGCGUAGAGAUGUGGAGGAAUACCGGUGGCGAAGGCGGCCCCCUGGACAAAGACUGACGCUCAGGUGCGAAAGCGUGGGGAGCAAACAGGAUUAGAUACCCUGGUAGUCCACGCUGUAAACGAUGUCGAUUUAGAGGUUGUGGUCUUGAACUGUGGCUUCUGGAGCUAACGCGUUAAAUCGACCGCCUGGGGAGUACGGCCGCAAGGUUAAAACUCAAAUGAAUUGGCGGGG
rnacentral:rRNA from 1 species